UACGUAGGGUGCAAGCGUUAAUCGGAAUUACUGGGCGUAAAGCGUGCGCAGGCGGUUGUGCAAGACAGAUGUGAAAUCCCCGGGCUCAACCUGGGAAUUGCAUUUGUGACUGCACGGCUAGAGUGUGUCAGAGGGGGGUAGAACUCCACGUGUAGCAGUGAAAUGCGUAGAGAUGUGGAGGAAUACCGAUGGCGAAGGCAGCCCCCUGGGAUAACACUGACGCUCAUGCACGAAAGCGUGGGGAGCAAACAGG
rnacentral:rRNA from 1 species